GAUCCUGUCACUGACUUAAAACUUGCUCCCAUUCAUUGUUCCUCCAAAACUUUGUUAAUCCUGCUGUAAGAGCAACAGCAGCAGACAAAACUACAUUUCUUACAUGAUUCUCUUGACCUCCCAUCUGCCUCACUGCUCUGCUUCAUGCAUCCUUCAGAACACAGUGUCAGAAACUCCUAUUUCAAUAGAAAUUCUAUCCAUGCUGGGCCUGUCUGAUGUCGAACCCCAUGGUGUUCAGGAUCUGCUUUGAUCCCAAGAAGCCAAUGUCAGAUAUGUGGUGAAGAGGACAACAUACAGAACCGUCCUUGGCUGUGUUUAAUCAGUGAGUGCUUCUCCUUUGAGCUCUGAAACCCACAACCUUCUCUUCCGUGAAGAAAACACCAACCACUCACUUAUUUCCGAAGGAUUAUUUUUUUCCUUACACUGAAAUUAAAGCAAAUUAUAAUUUGUGACAAUUAACUGGUGACCUUCAGUAUUUUGUAAUUUGAGAACUCAUCAUAGUUGUUUUUUUUUUUUUUUCCUAGAGAAGAAUUAAUUACUUACUGAUUACAUUAAUUUCUCCAUUAUUGUCCUGUAUUUGUUCAGAAGUCAGCUUACCAUUCCUCUUUUUGUGGACUUGUACUCGUUCACUGCAAUAACAGAAGUUGAUUUUAAUUAAUUUGACUAGAAAAUACAUUACUAACAUAUUGAGGCAGAUUGAGCAGACUGCAGUAGAAGUCUAAUAUUACACAAAAGAUUCUGGAGUGCUUAAAAACACAGCAAUGCUGUUAAAGCACAAAUGCUACAUCAUUCACACCCUGCUCUUUAAUAGGAGCAGUGUUUAUAGAACAGCUUAAGAGCUACAAUAGCACAAAAUAUAAAAGAUGACAAACUAAAGCAAGGAACCAAACCACCUGAUGAAUUGGUACAGGGAUUACCUUCAUGAUACU
rnacentral:lncRNA from 1 species